rnacentral:ncRNA from 1 species
AAAUAAAUACGACACCUCAUAUAUUUCCUGAGAAUAUGGCUCAGAAGUUUCUACCCGGCACCGUAAAUGCCUGGACUAUGAGGGAGGAUGAAU